UACGUAGGGGGGCAAGCGUUGUCCGGAUUUAUUGGGCGUAAAGAGCUCGUAGGCGGUUCGGUAAGUUGGGUGUGAAACCUCCAGGCUCAACCUGGAGACGCCACCCGAUACUGCUGUGACUAGAGUCCGGUAGGGGAGCGUGGAAUUCCUGGUGUAGCGGCGAAAUGCGCAGAUAUCAGGAGGAACACCAGCGGCGAAGGCGGCGCUCUGGGCCGGAACUGACGCUGAGGAGCGAAAGCGUGGGUAGCAAACAGG
rnacentral:rRNA from 1 species